AACGAACGCUGGCGGCAUGCUUUACACAUGCAAGUCGAACGCGAAAGUCCCGCAAGGGAUGAGUAAAGUGGCAAACGGGUGAGUAACGCGUGGGAAUAUACCUUCAGGUGCGGAAUAGCCUCGGGAAACUGGGAUUAAUACCGCAUGAUGUCUACGGACCAAAGAUGUUAUCGCCUGAAGAUUAGCCCGCGUCAGAUUAGCUUGUUGGUGGGGUAAUGGCCUACCAAGGCAACGAUCUGUAGCUGGUCUGAGAGGAUGAUCAGCCACAUUGGGACUGAGACACGGCCCAAACUCCUACGGGAGGCAGCAGUGGGGAAUAUUGGACAAUGGGCGCAAGCCUGAUCCAGCAAUGCCGCGUGAGUGAUGAAGGCCUUAGGGUUGUAAAGCUCUUUAAGUGGGGAAGAUAAUGACGGUACCCACAGAAUAAGCACCGGCUAACUUCGUGCCAGCAGCCGCCGUAA
rnacentral:rRNA from 1 species